GGAUUUAUUUCUAAACGGCCGCAGAAUUUUAACUGUGCUAAGGUAGCAUAAUCAUUUGUCUUUUAAUUGAAGACUAGUAUGAAUGGUUUAACGAAAUUAAGCUGUCUUUUUUAUAUCAAAUAAAAUUUAAUUUUAAAGUUAAAAAGCUUUAAUAUAAUAAAAAGACAAAAAGACCCUAUAGAGUUUUAUUUUUACUUUUAGAUCAUAAAUACCUAAAAAUUUUGUUGGGGCAACUAAGAAAGAAAAAAUUUUUCUUUAAUAAAUACAUAUAUCAUAUCAUUUAUUUAAUAAACCAAAAUAAAUUACCUUAGGGAUAACAGCGUAACUUUCUUUGAGAGUUCAAAUCGAAAAGAAAAAUUAC
rnacentral:rRNA from 1 species